CCCUUAGAUGUCCUGGGCCGCACGCGCGCUACACUGUUCGACGCAGCGAGUCUUAACCUUGACCGAAAGGUUUGGGUAAUCUUCAGCAAAGUCGAACGUGAUGGGGAUCGAUCAUUGCAAUUAUUGAUCGUGAACGAGGAAUUCCUAGUAAGUGCAAGUCAUCAGCUUGCGCUGAUUACGUCCCUGCCCUUUGUACACACCGCCCGUCGCUACUACCGAUUGAAUGGUUUAGUGAGAUCCUUGGAUCGGCCCUGUCGCGGCUGGCAACGGCCGCGUCGGCGCGUCGAGAAGACGAUCAAACUUGAUCAUUUAGAGGAAGUAAAAGUCGUAACA
rnacentral:rRNA from 1 species